rnacentral:tRNA from 1 species
GGUCUUAUAUUCAUUCAAAUGAUAUGAAAUUGCAAAUUUUAAGGAGUAAAUAAAAUAUUUACUAAGGCUU